UACGUAGGGUGCUAGCGUUGUUCGGAAUUAUUGGGCGUAAAGCGCGUGUAGGUGGCCACGUAAGUCAGAUGUGAAAGCCCUCGGCUCAACCGGGGAAGUGCAUUUGAAACUGCAUGGCUAGAGGACGGUAGAGGAAGGUGGAAUUCCUAGUGUAGAGGUGAAAUUCGUAGAUAUUAGGAGGAAUACCGGUGGCGAAGGCGGCCUUCUGGGCCGUUCCUGACACUGAGACGCGAAAGCGUGGGUAGCAAACAGG
rnacentral:misc_RNA from 1 species